UACGGGGGGGGCGAGCGUUGUUCGGAAUUACUGGGCGUAAAGGGCUCGUAGGUGGCCAACUAAGUCAGACGUGAAAUCCCCAGGCUCAACUUGGGAACUGCGUCUGAUACUGGAUGGCUUGAAUUCGGGAGAGGGAUGCAGAAUUCCAGGUGUAGCGGUGAAAUGCGUAGAUAUCUGGAGGAAUACCGGUGGCGAAGGCGGCAUCCUGGACCGACAUUGACGCUGAUGAGCGAAAGCUAGGGGAGCAAACGGG
rnacentral:rRNA from 1 species